UCGAAGCAUAUAUACAUAUACAUAUCCGCACCUUCGCAUCUCCGCCCGUCUGUCCACGCGCACACGCACAGCGACGAGCAGCAGCCAGCUCUCGUCUCUUCCGCGCUGCCCUCUCCCCCCCCCCGACGUCGCUCUGUUGGUGCGGUAGGCGAUGCUCAGCCAUGAUGCGCAUCGCACCGCACACGCCCCCGCCUCACCCCGCGGGACUCAAUCGCAGCGAGCACAUCGAGGCAGGGCUUCCGGCGCGUCUGCAGGGAAGCAGCGGUGCUCCCAAGCCCACGAUGAGCAACAUGGCCCCUCCCGACCCGCGCCUUGGCCACGUGGCGGACACCACAAACGGAGGCAGCAGCAUCAGCGGUAUCCCCCACGAGGAGCCUGUGCGGCGUUCUUCGGAAGUGGCUGCCUCGAGCACGGCGGGGCGUUACGAAGCUGAGCAGAAGCCCUUCGUAGGCAUGUCUGCCAUCGCCCUCCAGCCACCGCCACCCUUUUCGAUGCGGCAUUCGACGGCUGCGCCAUUCUCCUCGUCCUCUGUCCAACUGAGCCCCUUCGGCGACCGUGCUGGCGGCGGCACAAACAACCACAGCAGCAGCAGCAGCAGCAGCAGCAGCAGCCACUCGGCUAGCCACACUUCAUCCCACUACCUCGUCGCCAUCCAGCGAGACCUCGAAAGCAUUGUGCGCCUCCAGCAACUGCAGCUGCGGGAGAGGAGGGUGUCGCUUCCAUCCGAAGCAAGCACUACAGGAAGUGUUCCGAGGGUGUGGAUUGGCUCCGAGAAGGUGGUGGCAGCUCCAUCAGCGACGGGCGCGCACUACCACAUCACCGCCUCCGUCGACAACGCUGAUUCGGCGAUGCACCUCCAGUCCAUCGACCAUGCAAUGCGAUCAUCGUUCGAAGGUGAAGCCGCGGCGCACGCACCCCCUCGCCAGCAGCAGUCACAGCAGCCGCUGCCCCUUUCGUAUCAUCCGCGCUUGACGGUGGCACCCGCCGGUGCUCACGCUGCGAAAGCGUCCGACGCGGCGCCGCAGCUGUCACUCGGCCCGUGGCAGUCGAGCUUGCAGGGCGACAACGACAUGCUUCUCUCACCGCCACCGCAUGUCGCCAGCGGGGCCAGCAUCUCCGCUGGUGCAGGCGGCUUCGUUAUGCAUCAGCAGCAACAACAGCAGCCGCCGCCACCACCGCCCUCAUCCUCUCCCAUUCCGGCCUCUCUCGUGGAGUAUCAACGUUAUCUCAUGCAACUGGAGCAUCAGCAGCGCCAGCACCGCGAAGUGCUGCGACGGCACCGCAAGCAGCGGAAGGAGGAGAUGAUGGCGGCCGCACAGCGUGGAGCAGCGAUGAUCACUGUGCCAGUGAGUAUGAAGACGCCACCACGGCAACGAACUGGCGUCGGUGCCGCGACCGAGGACCGACGCGACCGAAGCCCGCCACUCGCGAUGAUGAUGCAAACGUUACGGCAGCGCCGAGGCGACGGCCGCGGCAUCUACAGCGUCGACACGCUGUACGGUGACACCUCGUCCUCCGCCAGCAGUAAGACGGCGCCCUCGGCAAAGCAGCAGCGGGGCCGGCACUCGCAGAAACAGCGGCACCCCACGACGCCGUCACCAACCCCAGCAGCAGAAGCCCAGUUGCGCGACCGUAGCGGUGGCCGGCGAGCGAGCUCCAGGCGAGGUCGCUGUCGCGGUGCUGAGGGCGCCGGCCCGUCUGCGACCAGAAGGGCGGGAAUACCAGCCGUGGCGCUGAGAGACGCGCCAGCGCGCAGUGGGCAUCGUCAGAGUACACCGAAACAAGAACAGCGGCGGAAAUCAAAUGUGCGGAACAGUCCCGCCAACAGUCGCUCAAGAUAUGUGAGCCCGCAACGACUGGCGACCGCGGUGGGGAAAGGGCGGGAUGUUCAGCACUUGCUGCUGCACACGCCACCAUUGAUAACGGGCUCUCUUCCCAGGUCUUCCCUACUCGCAUCUGGGCCCACGGACGCAACGCCCCUGCGGGAGUACGCUGAAACGGCGACGCUGGCGCAUCCGCAGUCCUCCUCUCCGGUGGAGGCCUUCGCCGACGCGCUGCUGAUGGACGUGAACGGGGCACCCGGGACCGUCGGCGACGGCGCUUCCGCAGUAGGGUCGCUGCCGGCACCGCCACCACACUUGAUGGCCACACACUCCUUCGCCGGGACGGCCAUAACGAGAGAAACAACCCCCUACACGGCUGUCGGUGGCACAGCAACUGCGCCGGCGCCUAUCGUUUUCGCCAUCGCACCUAGCGGUGCGGUCGUCAUGCCCCCUGGCGACGUCGCGGACGACCAUCGGAGUGCGGCGGAGAUGGCGCCAGCAGCAGAACAGAAGUCCCGGCAUCACGGAAGCCGCGAUCAACACCAGGGCACGAGCGGGGAGAGCGAUCUCACCACCAUGACUACCACCACGCCUGCAUCGUCUACCGAGUCGUCGCCCUCACGUGAAAUGGGGGCACACACCGCGAGAGCGGAAGGAGGCGCCAGGAUGCAUGUGAAGGGCGGCGCCGCGACGCCUGCUGCGAUGCGUCCAUCGGCGGCCAUCGCUGCCAUCCUGCAGCACCCGGACGCCACAGCAACUGCGCACUCCCGCCGUCAGCAGCGCUCCCGCAGCGCUGAUCCGAUCCUCGUCCACGGCAACAACGGCUUUAGCUGGCGCCUGACGCGGCGUCGCAUCCGUGGCGCUGGAGCCACCACCACCGGGGCCGAGACCCACCACAACUACCCAGACGUUCAUCGCAAGACUCGCCACCACCUUCACAACGGUCAUCACCAUCGCUCCAUGGAGGGCAUCAGCAGCACAACACCCGAGCACGGCACGGGUACGCCGCGAAGCAGCCGCUACAGGUACAACAGCAGCAGCACGACACGACAGCGGAAACAGUCGCGGCAACUGUCAAAACACACUCCGCACAGCGCCAGCGGCGCGGAUACCCGCAGUGACGGUCAUGACGGGGGCAUCAAGCACCCCGUCGAUGCCGCGAAGCAGCGGCCCGCGAGUCCAGGAGGCGGUGGCAAGGCACAUGGACGUGCCAUGCCUGGCAACGGCAACCGUAAUGCGAUCACCGCUGCAGCAACACCUUCCUAUAGCUGCCCCGCAGGCGGUGAUGCGGUGAGCCGGCUAGCGCAUUCGCGGCCGCUUCCACCAUCGCGGAAAGCGGCCGCCAUCUGGCAGGACGUUAAACUCAUGUGGACCCCAGCGCCAGCAUCGCAGGCCCCCUUCGCCGCUGUCUACCGCUACCACCCUCACACGCACCCCCCGGCUUCCUUUCACGCACAACAGCAGCAGUCGCUGGUCUAUCGAGAUGUGUCGCCGUCCGCAUACGCGGGAAGAACUGCUGAAAUUGCGCGAGGCCACACAACAGGUCGUGCCUCAGCUGCAGCCGUGAGGGAUAGAGUAGCAUCACGAGCUCUGACAGGGGCUGCAGGAGCCUCGCCCUCCGCGCCGUCGCCGCCACCUGUUGCCCUCCCCCAUACACAGCAGCAGAUGGCAUCUGCCGGCGCACCACUUCUGUGCAUGACAGACAGCCUCAUCGGUGCUGCAUUGCGCGAUGUCCUGCCAGUGUGCCGAGCUCGUCAGCGCGAGGUGGCGCGUGAGGUGGCCCGUAGGCGAUACCAGAUUUUGCCGGCAGGCGUCGGUUGUGCCACCGCCUCGGCGACCGUGCUCUAGCUCGUUCGGCGCUGUCACCGUGCUGAACCUUAUUGCCCUUCCUCCACGCCGCCGCUUUUAGUGGCUCUCCCUGUGCGCCUGCGACAGCGGAGGGGGCGAAGCGGGGGGAUACGAUGGAUGCGCGCGCGUAUCGGUAUCUUGGUCGCUCUCCAGUCCACCCACCCACCCCUCCUGUUUCGUGGCCCUCGCAUCCUGUGUGUUCCUCCUUCCUUUUCCUUCCAACAACACCCACACACCACACACAUACACAAACGGCUGCCGUCCGCCGUCCACAACUUGCCAUCGCCACGGCGUAGACGUCCACUGUAUAUCACCCUCACCCCAAGAGCAAGACCAGCACGAGCAACACACACACACAUAAGCGCACACAGCAGGUGUGCAGAUAUGCGCGUGCGUGUAUGUACGUGUGUCUGUGUCCAUGUACGUGGUAAAGCAAGCCCAUACGAGCCCACCGGAGGAGAGGCGCAGGUUGUUCACAGCAUCGAUCUGGUAAUCCUGCGCUCCUUUGGCCGCCUCGGACCGUUCGCGCUCGGCAGACGCCAAUCCGUCUCCCGAGCCUCGCCUCACCGACUUCGAGCGGCGACUUGCACACCCGCUUCGCCUCCAUCACUCUUUUCCCAUCCUCGAUUGCUCGCCUCUCAACCCCACUCGCACACACGCCGCAG
rnacentral:misc_RNA from 1 species